UUGCAAACUAGAUCACUAGCUCUGCAGCCGGUUGCAGAAGCGAGGGGAACACGUUUGCUAUAGAAACUGAAAAAGCAAUAGAAUUACGUCUGUGGCUUUGUAGUUCCACAUAACAGGC